rnacentral:lncRNA from 1 species
UGUAUUACAUGCUUGAUCAAAUGUCCCGUCAAUAUACUUUACGACAAUAAACAGUUUACAUACAGUUAGUCGUCGUAAUGCAAUACACGCAGGUAUAGUAAACUUCAAGCUAGUCCGGGGUCAUGUCAGGUCACAGUCCGGACUCACCUGUUCAAGAAUGUGUAUUACAUUGUUGAACGCCGCUUAAGUGUCGUUUAUUGAUUUUUCCGAUGACAAUCGAAUAACUAAAGAAAUAGAGAAAUGAAUAAAGGAAAAGUAAAAAGCAAAAAGGGGAAAACAAAAUCUUUCAAUUAAACAAAUAAUUUAGUAUAUUUAUAUACAAUCCGUAUACUCCUGGUCCGGGGUUAUAUCAGGUCACAGUCCGGACUCGCC